GUGGCAGUAGCUCAGUGGUAGAGCCCCGGCUUCGUAUGCAGGAAGACCUGGAUUCGAUUCCCGGCUGCUCCC
rnacentral:tRNA from 1 species